rnacentral:rRNA from 1 species
AAUGCUGACAUAAGUAACGAUAAAGCGGGUGAAAAGCCCGCUCGCCGGAAGACCAAGGGUUCCUGUCCAACGUUAAUCGGGGCAGGGUGAGUCGACCCCUAAGGCGAGGCCGAAAGGCGUAGUCGAUGGGAAACAGGUUAAUAUUCCUGUACUUGGUGUUACUGCGAAGGGGGGACGGAGAAGGCUAUGUUGGCCGGGCGACGGUUGUCCCGGUUUAAGCGUGUAGGCUGGUUUUCCAGGCAAAUCCGGAAAAUCAAGGCUGAGGCGUGAUGACGAGGCACUACGGUGCUGAAGCAACAAAUGCCCUGCUUCCAGGAAAAGCCUCUAAGCAUCAGGUAACAUCAAAUCGUACCCCAAACCGACACAGGUGGUCAGGUAGAGAAUACCAAGGCGCUUGAGAGAACUCGGGUGAAGGAACUAGGCAAAAUGGUGCCGUAACUUCGGGAGAAGGCACGCUGAUAUGUAGGUGAAGUCCCUCGCGGAUGGAGCUGAAAUCAGUCGAAGAUACCAGCUGGCUGCAACUGUUUAUUAAAAACACAGCACUGUGCAAACACGAAAGUGGACGUAUACGGUGUGACGCCUGCCCGGUGC